GACGGAGGGGGCUAGCGUUGUUCGGAAUCACUGGGCGUAAAGCGCGCGUAGGCGGCUCGGCAAGUUGGGUGUGAAAGCCCAGGGCUCAACCCUGGAAUAGCACCCAAAACUGCUUGGCUAGAGUCCGGGAGAGGGUAGUGGAAUUCCCAGUGUAGAGGUGAAAUUCGUAGAUAUUGGGAAGAACACCAGUGGCGAAGGCGGCUACCUGGCCCGGUACUGACGCUGAGGUGCGAAAGCGUGGGGAGCAAACAGG
rnacentral:misc_RNA from 1 species